rnacentral:rRNA from 1 species
GAUCAUGGCUCAGGACGAACGCUGGCGGCGUGCCUAAUACAUGCAAGUAGAACGCUGAAGGAGGAGCUUGCUUCUCUGGAUGAGUUGCGAACGGGUGAGUAACGCGUAGGUAACCUGCCUGGUAGCGGGGGAUAACUAUUGGAAACGAUAGCUAAUACCGCAUAACAGUAGAUGUUGUCAUGACAUUGUCUUAAAGGUUAAGGCAAUUAGUCAUCACUACCACGAUGG